rnacentral:rRNA from 1 species
AGAACGAACGCUGGCGGCAUGCCUAAUACAUGCAAGUCGAACGAACACUCUGACUUCGGUUGGGGUGUUAGUGGCGCACGGGUGCGUAACGCGUGGGAAUCUGCCCUUGGGUUCGGAAUAACAGUUGGAAACGACUGCUAAUACCGGAUGAUAUCGAAAGAUCAAAGAUUUAUCGCCCAGGGAUGAGCCCGCGUAGGAUUAGCUAGUUGGUGGGUAAAGGCUCACCAAGGCGACGAUCCGUUAGCUGGCCUGAGAGGAUGAUCAGCCACACGUGGGACUGAGACACGGCCAGACUCCGACGGGAGCAGCAGUAGGAAUAGUGGAACAAGUGGGACGACAAGCCUAGGACU